ensembl:misc_RNA Vault Vault RNA
AGGCUGGCUUUAGCCUAGCAGUUACUUCGAGUCUGGCUUUCCAACCGCCGGGGCCGAUUGGUCCAGUGGUUCGACACCUACCGGUGCUCUCCAGUCCUUAA